rnacentral:rRNA from 1 species
ACUCCUACGGGAGGCAGCAGUGGGGAAUCUUGGACAAUGGGCGCAAGCCUGAUCCAGCCAUGCCGCGUGAGUGAUGAAGGCCCUAGGGUCGUAAAGCUCUUUCGCCAGGGAUGAUAAUGACAGUACCUGGUAAAGAAACCCCGGCUAACUCCGUGCCAGCAGCCGCGGUAAUACGGAGGGGUUAGCGUUGUUCGGAAUUACUGGGGCGUAAAGCGCGCGUAGGCGGACUGGAAAGUUGGGGGUGAAAUCCCGGGGGCUCAACCCCGGAACUGCCUCCAAAACUCCCAGUCUUGAGUUCGAGAGGAGGUGAGUGGAAUUCCGAGUGUAGAGGUAGAAAUUCGUAGAUAUCGGAGAACACCAGUGGCGAAGGCGCUCACUGGCUCGAUAUUGACGCUGA